AACGGGAGACUAUUGUAUGAUGUGAAAUGUCUGAGGCUUGGUGUAGUUGCUUCAUUUUGGUAACUCUUCUCAUUCAAGAAAUGAGUAUAAAUUCCAGAGACUCCAAACCUUGAAUUCAACUGAAACCAACCCCCAAGUAAAGGAGAAGAUGCUCAGGAUGGCUGGAGUUUGAACCUAGUCAACUGGUAGGGGGACUUCAUUUUUCCCCACGUAUUUUCGACAGACCGUGGCCCCGUCUAUUGUUUUUGAAGAGGAAAACUCCUGGUGCCAAGAAGUCCACUGAUCCUUGGUUCAGACAAGGACUUUCAAUUGCUCAAGUCAGAUGAAUAUUGAAAGGUCACCAGAGGAUACACCAGGAUAAAAACCCUAUGAACUUGAUAUUGAAAUUUUCUUGUUGAACUGAUGUUGGAAGGUGGGGAGAGUAGAAAAUAAGUUGUAAAAUGGCCCAGGGCUUAAUUUAUUUAAAACUUUGGUUAAAAACGUUUGCUGCUUUGAAUUGUUUUAUGAGAAACCACAGAAGAUGUUAGGUAGUGGAAGAAAAGAAUUCCACUGAGAGGGCUUUAACUACCCUGUUACCUUCAUAGCCCCCCAGCAGUAAUCCACAAAAAUGAUAUUUUUUGUAUGGAAAGUUGACCUUUUUCUCAAUAUAAUGUAGAUUGAAUAAAAAUCUGUGCUUUUUUAAAUGCUAUGCAAGUUAAAAUGAUAUCCAAGUAAAAACUCUGAGUUUGCUAUGAAACACAUGUCUGAUUGCAGCCAGAUUGCUACCUCCGAACACUUCUUAGGUAGAAACAAUGUAGCCAGCUCACCGGUUUUCUGAGAUAAUACCUAAAAUUUUGCAACCCAAGACUGUUCCGUUUUCUUUACCAUCUGGUUCUAGGAACACAGGGACACCAUGACUAUUGAAGCGUUGAAGAUUCCAGAUUAAACGUGUUUUAAAAUGUAAGCCUACACUGCAGGGCAUGGUGGUGUGCCUGGAGUCCUAGCUACGUGGGAGGCUGAGGUAGGAGGAUCCCUUGAGUCCAGAAAUUCUGGUGCAGCCUGAGCCACACAGUGAAACCUCGUUUUUAAUAAAAUAUUUUUUAAGCCUACACUUCCUAAAUUUUGUAUAGUGACUGCACUAAAGGACAUUAUAUAUUUUCUUUAGUACUCACGCUAAUAGUAUUCAAUAAUGCUAUUACUUCCUGCUUUGACAGAUGAGGAAAAUGGAGCAUGACGGGAAUGGCGAGUGUUGGGAAUAAGGGAGUGUAACCACCCUCUUCUCCCAGAUGCCUGUGCCUUUGAGCAAUUCACUUGCUCUUCCUUCGCAAAGAGGUUGGACCAGCCUCUGGGUGAUUUCUAACCUCUAACAUUAGAGGGCAGUGACUCUAAGCUAAAACACCGUUGUGGGAUCCACUGUGCUGGUAUCAAGCCACGAAGAGGAAGCAUCUGUGCUACAGAAACUCAUAGGUGAAAGGAGCGUCUUUCACUGCCUUAUAAACUUGUA
ensembl:lncRNA